UCUUCCAAACUCAAUGCAAAUAGCAUCAGCAUCAAACCAAGAAGCUGACCUCUCUGGAGACUUUAUCACUUGUACAGUUCUUCCUUCAUAAUCAAUAAUCACCUUCAAUAAUCUAUAAUCUAUAAUCAAAAUAACCUUGCUUCACUGGUGGUCUCCUCCACAUUUCUUUCCUCUUCUCCUUCCUCAUUCAAGUGCUUCUUUAUUCUGUGUUGUAGCAGCAUCCACCUCCCCCUUGUGAAUUCCAAACAUUCACAUGUACAGUCUGCUGCCCCAAGAAAGCAUGACAUCAGCAGGAAAAUCAGGGUUUUUGAAGGCUUUUGUUUCUUAUACCAGGAAGAGAUUCUCCUUAUUCAUGGACUUCUGAACUCUGAUGAUUCAUUGAACAUUAAGGAGCUGGAAAGACCUUCACAAGCUGAUGCAGAGUGAAAUGAGCAAAAUCAGGAGAACAUUGUACACAGAGACUGAAACAUUGUGGGAUGAUCAUAUGUAAUCAACUUUUCUACUUAUACCAAUGCAGUGACCCAGGACAUUCCUGACGAAUAUGAGAAAGAACGCUAUCCACAUCUAGAGAAAGAACUGUGGGAGUAUAAACAAGGAAGGAAUAUAUUUGAUUUUUCACUUAUUUAUAUUGGUAUUGGAUAUGGGGUUUUGAUUUUUAAAAAGGUAUUACAAAAAUGAUUAAUAUGGAAAUAGGCAUUGAGUGAUAAUACAUGUGUAAUCCAGUGGUAUUGCUUGUUAGCUUUGUGAGGGAGAAGGGGGAAAGGAGAAGAAAAGUACCUGAAUCAUAUAACCAUGGGAAAAUACUUAUUUUAAAAAUAUAUAAUAUCUGCUAAUUCUCAACAUCUGUUUGAAUAAAUAUACCAUCACAAACUGGUUUUAAAUAGAA
rnacentral:lncRNA from 1 species